rnacentral:piRNA from 1 species
UGAAAUCUGAACUUUUGUUUCUGUGA